rnacentral:lncRNA from 1 species
CGACGCCGGCUACGGCUACGGCGGCGGGUACGCGCCCACGCCGGCCACCCCGACGCCCAAGCCGGAGAAGCCACCCAAGGUCGGCAAGCCGCCCAAGGAGCACGGCCCCAGCCUUGAGAAGCCACCCAAGGCCACAAGCCGCCCAAGGAGCACGGGCCCAAGCCGGAGAAGCCGCCCAAGGGGAACAAGCCUCCCACCUUCACCCCGUCGCCGAAGCCGGCGCCGCCGACGCCCAAGCCGACUCCUCCGACGUACACACCGUCGCCGAAGCCGACGCCACUGACGCCGAAGCCUACUCCACCCACAUACACGCCGACGCCGAAGCCCACGCCGCCGACGUACACUCCGUCGCCGAAGCCUACCCCACCGACGUACACUCCCACGCCAAAACCCACUCCUCCGACGUACACCCCGUCACCCAAGCCACCGGUGACCAAGCCG